rnacentral:miRNA from 1 species
CCGUGAUGAUGAUGGAGAUGAUGAUGAUGAUGAUGAUGAUGAUGAUGAUGAUGUCGCUCAUUACCUUUGCCAUGCAUCACCUUCUUUUCAGGCA